ACUCCUGCUGACGAGAACAGAGACACUUUAUAAAGAAACAGAUUCAGAUUCUGUUUUCAUUUAUUCACAUCCCGAUGUGUUUGGAUUUACAGAUUCUUCUUCUUCUGCGUCUUUACUCGUGCGUCUCGACUUUUUUGAGAUGUAGCAACACUAGACUGUCGGACAAGCAGCAGAAACAUCCUAUAAAGAAAGAUCUUACUAAAUUCUAAAGAUAUUUGUGAACGUUCAAAAUGUUUGUUUUUGGAACGAGGUUCGGUUUGAGCAGCUGUGAUGCAGCGCAGGACGUCAGGAGAAAAUCUCAAAGCAACGACAGUUUGGAUUGAAGGUUUCUGAAGCAUCCUGGAAGUCAGGGGAAUCUAAAUGCUGAUUGGCGCUGGCAACACAGCACCACACACACACAAUCCACAUCACAUGGCGGUGAUCCUUUUCGGUUGAAAUGUAUGUGUGAUGUCUCUCUAGAGCGCAGAAAGGUUUACAGACCGAUGCAGAGCUGGAUAAACACUGAAGCGUCAGAGUCCACCACUUGGCAGAUUUUCACUUCGUGUCAUAAAUGGACUCACUGUUUUCCUCUUAAGUCAAGCAAACAAACAGCAACCUUCCUUUUAGCUUGUUAGAUAUAAGAACAACAAACAGCUGUGUGUUUCUGUCUCCUCAUCAGCAAAGACCCUGACAGACGACUCGUCCCCUCAGCUGCUCGCUCACAGGAAGGCCGACCUAAAGGAGAGAAAGUCUGCCUACAGCCUGCUGGAGCUGUCUCUCAAGAAACUGGCCAUCAGGUUUGGAAAGUCCUGGAACGAACUUCGGAGCUUCGGAGUCCCGUAGCUGAGUACUGUAUGGAGCACUGGAGGGACGACUGGUUCUUUGGGUAUCAGUGUAUGAACGGUUCCAACCCGAGAUUGAUCCAGAGGUGUAAGAAGCUUCCUUCCGUCGAGAAUUUCCUCAUCACAGCGAACAUGGUGCAGAGCUCCAUGAGUCCCCGGACUCACCUGGACAGAGAACUGAAGGCAGGUAAUAGCUACCUGUUGGACUGUGCCAUCACAGACCAACACGAUCUGAGGUACACGUCAGCAUAUCGCUGCUCCGCUUUGCCUCCUGUACCAACACCCGGACCAGGGACUCAUACCUGUUGCUAUACAGCUGGAGCAGACUCCCGGUUUGGACACGCCCAUUUUCCUGCCCACAAACCCGCCCCUCACCUGGCUGCUGGCCAAGAUGUGGGUGCGUCACUCUGAGUUCCAGGCGUUCCAGCUGCUGUCUCACCUGCUCAGGACUCACCUGGUCUUAGAGGUGUUCUGUGUGGCAACUCUACGACAGCUGCCUGCUGUGCACCCUGUUUACAAGAUAAAACUGUGAUUGUUUUUUUUUUUCUUCGAGCGGCUUUGGAGGGAUGUGUGGACCACAGUAACAAGCACAUAUUAUGAUGUGCUGCACAGUCUCGAAGAAGAGGGACUGCUAGACAUCUCAAACAUGUUGCACAUCUUCCUGCUGCAUUUUGUGUUCCUACCUCGUCUACGCAGUGACCUUCAAACCUUCACUGAGGGCUGGAACCAUCACCCACUCCGCACAGAAGGAAACAUGACCCCUCAGCAGUUGUGGCAAAUGGGGCUGCUGCAAAACAGCACAGCCGAGGUUGAUAAUGUUGAGGUGCAUGCUUACAUUACUGCAUUUAUCUCUGUUGAACAUACAGUCCUCUCAACAACUGAAACAACAAGGCCAGUCAUAGGAAUUGGCCAACAUACACUUUUGCUUAAUUGAAACAAGGGUUGUCAAAGUAAAGUUGUUUGUUUGAAUCCUAGCAAGAACUUGACAUUGACUAGGAGAGUGCCCUUCACAGUCAUGAGCACCUUCCAGAAUGUGGGGUUAUGGUCCCAGAUUUCCCCUCACCUCUAAGUGACCAAGAUGUGGCAGACCUUCAAGCUGCUGUGGACCCUACAGCAUCAUCUGACAACCAUGGUCGAGACAUUUACUACCACUGUCUUCAAAUGUUUCAGUGAACGGUCAUUUUAUGUCAGUUAGAGGCCUCUAUAGUGCAUAUAGUGUUAUUAAGUUUGGGGAUCAAGAACACACACACACACACACACACACACACACACACACACACACACACACACACACACACACACACUAUAUGCUGUAUAUAUAAUUCCUAUAAAUCAAUCUUAAUGUUGUGUUAAUGUUCAUGUUACUGUUUAUUGUGGACUGUCCGAAUAUUUUGACAAAUUGUAUUUUUAUGCUUUGGCAACGUUGUUAUAGUUACUUUCAUGCCAAUAAAGCCCCUUUGAAUUGAA